rnacentral:rRNA from 1 species
UACGUAGGGUGCGAGCGUUAAUCGGAAUUACUGGGCGUAAAGCGUGCGCAGGCGGUUCGUUAAGUCAGACGUGAAAUCCCUCGGCUUAACCGGGGAACUGCGUCUGAUACUGGAUGGCUUGAGUGUGGGAGAGGGAUGCGGAAUUCCAGGUGUAGCGGUGAAAUGCGUAGAUAUCUGGAGGAACACCGGUGGCGAAGGCGGCAUCCUGGACCACGACUGACGCUGAGUGAGCGAAAGCCAGGGGAGCAAACGGG